UACGAAGGUCCCAAGCGUUGUUCGGAAUCACUGGGCGUAAAGGGAGCGUAGGCGGCGCGGUAAGUCGGAUGUGAAAGCCCGGGGCUCAACCUCGGAACUGCAUCCGAUACUACCAUGCUAGAGUAUUGAAGGGGAAACUAGAAUUCUCGGUGUAGCAGUGAAAUGCGUAGAUAUCGAGAGGAAUACCAAAGGCGAAGGCAGGUUUCUUGGCAAUUACUGACACUGAGGCACGAAGGCCAGGGUAGCGAACGGG
rnacentral:rRNA from 1 species